rnacentral:rRNA from 1 species
UACGUAGGAGGCGAGCGUUGUCCGGAAUUACUGGGCGUAAAGAGCGCGUAGGCGGCGCUGUACGACCCGUGUGAAAGCCCCCGGCUCAACUGGGGAGGGUCACGGGUAACGGCAGUGCUCUGAGUGCAGGAGAGGGAAGUGGAACUCCGGGAGUAGCGGAUGAAUGCGUAGAGACCCGGAGGAACACCGGUGGCGAAGGCGGCUUCCUGGUCUGCAACUGACGCUGUGGCGCGAAAGCUAGGGAGCAAACGGG